rnacentral:rRNA from 1 species
AUGAACGCUAGCGGGAGGCCUAACACAUGCAAGCCGAGCGGUAGAAAGUGGCUUGCUACUUUUGAGAGCGGCGUACGGGUGCGUAACACGUGUGCAACCUGCCUUUAUCUGGAGAAUAGCCUUUCGAAAGGAAGAUUAAUGCUCCAUAACAUAUUGAAUGGCAUCCUUUAAUAUUGAAAGCUCCGGCGGAUAGAGAUGGGCACGCGCAAGAUUAGUUAGUUGGUGAGGUAACGGCUCACCAAGGCGAUGAUCUUUAGGGGGCCUGAGAGGGGGAUCCCCCACACUGGUACUGAGACACGGACCAGACUCCUACGGGAGGCAGCAGUGAGGAAUAUUGGACAAUGGGUGAAAGCCUGAUCCAGCCAUCCCGCGUGAAGGAUGACGGCCCUAUGGGUUGUAAACUUCUUUUGUAUAGGGAUAAACCUACCCUCGUGAGGGUAGCUGAAGGUACUAUACGAAUAAGCACCGGCUAACUCCGUGCCAGCAGCCGCCGUAA